rnacentral:tRNA from 1 species
GCCGAAGUGGCGGAAUGGCAGACGCGCUACGUUCAGGGCGUAGUGUCCGCAAGGACGUGUGGGUUCAAGUCCCACCUUCGGCACCA